rnacentral:rRNA from 1 species
CGAAUGUCAUAACGACUCUCGGCAACGGAUAUCUCGGCUCUCGCAUCGAUGAAGAACGUAGCGAAAUGCGAUACUUGGUGUGAAUUGCAGAAUCCCGUGAACCAUCGAGUCUUUGAACGCAAGUUGCGCCCGAAGCCGUCAGGCUGAGGGCACGUCUGCAUGGGCGUCACGC